AACGAACGCUGGCGGCAGGCUUAACACAUGCAAGUCGAACGGUUGUAGCAAUACAGCAGUGGCGCACGGGUGAGUAACGCGUGGAUAUCUGCCUUUUGGUUCGGAAUAACUCCGGGAAACUGGAGCUAAUACCGGAUGGUUCCUACGGGAUAAAGAUUUAUCGCCAAAAGAUGAGUCCGCGUACGAUUAGCUAGUUGGCGGGGUAAUGGCCCACCAAGGCGACGAUCGUUAGCUGGUCUGAGAGGACGAUCAGCCACACUGGGACUGAGACACGGCCCAGACUCCUACGGGAGGCAGCAGUGGGGAAUAUUGCGCAAUGGGCGGAAGCCUGACGCAGCGACGCCGCGUGGGGGAUGACGGCCUUCGGGUUGUAAACCUCUUUCGCCGGGGACGAAGCUUUUGUGACGGUACCUGGAGAAGAAGCACCGGCCAACUACGUGCCAGCAGCCGCCGUAAGAC
rnacentral:rRNA from 1 species